rnacentral:rRNA from 1 species
GCCAUUCCGCGUGAGUGAAGAAGGCCUUCGGGUUGUAAAGCUCUUUCGCAAGGGAAGAAAACUUACUUUCUAAUAAAGAGUGAGGCUGACGGUACCUUGAUAAGAAGCACCGGCUAACUACGUGCCAGCAGCCGCGGUAAUACGUAGGGUGCGAGCGUUAAUCGGAAUUACUGGGCGUAAAGCGUGCGCAGGCGGUUUGGCAAGUCAGAUGUGAAAUCCCCGAGCUCAACUUGGGAACUGCGUUUGAAACUGCCAGACUAGAAUAUGUCAGAGGGGGGUAGAAUUCCACGUGUAGCAGUGAAAUGCGUAGAGAUGUGGAGGAAUACCAAUGGCGAAGGCAGCCCCCUGGGAUAAUAUUGACGCUCAUGCACGAAAGCGUGGGGAGCAAACAAAAGUAGAUACCCUGGUAGUCCACGCCCUAAACGAUGUCUUAUAGGUGUUGGUGGAGUAAAAUCCAAGAGUUAACGCAGCUAACGCGUGAAGUAGACCGCCUGGGGAGUACGGUCGCAAGAAUAAAACUCCAAAGGAAUUGCCGGGGCCCCGCACAAGCGGUGGGAUUAUGUGGAUUAAUUCGAUGCAACGCGAAAAACCUUACCUGGCCUUGACAUGCCACUAACGAAGCAGAGAUGCAUUAGGUGCCCGAAAGGGAAAGUGGACACAGGUGCUGCAUGGCUGUCGUCAGCUCGUGUCGUGAGAUGUUGGGUUAAGUCCCGCAACGAGCGCAACCCUUGCCAUUAAUUGCCAUCAUUUAGUUGGGCACUUUAAUGGGACUGCCGGUGACAAACCGGAGGAAGGUGGGGAUGACGUCAAGUCCUCAUGGCCCUUAUGGCCAGGGCUUCACACGUAAUACAAUGGUCGGUACAGAGAGUUGCCAAGCCGCGAGGUGGAGCUAAUCUCAGAAAGCCGAUCGUAGUCCGGAUUGUUCUCUGCAACUCGAGAGCAUGAAGUCGGAAUCGCUAGUAAUCGCGGAUCAGCAUGUCGCGGUGAAUACGUUCCCGGGCCUUGCACACACCGCCCGUCAA